AGACUGGGAUAACAGAGGGAAACUUCUGAUAAUACUGGAUAAGUUAGUAUAUCGCAUGAUAUACAAAUGAAAGCUACGGCACUAAAGGAGAGCUUUGCGUCCUAUUAGCUAGUUGGUAAGGUAAGAGCUUACCAAGGCGAUGAUAGGUAGCCGGCCUGAGAGGGUGGACGGCCACAAGGGGACUGAGAUACGGCCCUUACUCCUACGGGAGGCAGCAGUGGGGAAUAUUGGACAAUGGAGGGAACUCUGAUCCAGCAAUUCUGUGUGUGUGAAGAAGGUUUUAGGACUGUAAAACACUUUUAGUAGGGAAGAAAAAAAUGACGGUACCUACAGAAGAAGCAACGGCUAAAUACGUGCCAGCAGCCGCGGUAAU
rnacentral:rRNA from 1 species